UACGUAGGGGGCAAGCGUUGUCCGGAAUCAUUGGGCGUAAAGAGCGUGUAGGCGGCCCGAUAAGUCCGCCGUGAAAGUCCAGGGCUCAACCCUGGAAUGCCGGUGGAUACUGUCGGGCUAGAGUCCGGAAGGGCGAGUGGAAUUCCUGGUGUAGCGGUGAAAUGCGCAGAUAUCAGGAGGAACACCCGUGGCGAAAGCGGCUCUCUGGGACGGUACUGACGCUGAGACGCGAAAGCGUGGGGAGCAAACAGG
rnacentral:rRNA from 1 species